UGGUUCUGGCAUNGAUGAAGAACGCAGCGAAAUGCGAUAAGUAAUGUGAAUUGCAGAAUUCAGUGAAUCAUCGAAUCUUUGAACGCACAUUGCGCCCCUUGGUAUUCCGGGGGGCAUGCCUGUUCGAGCGUCAUUUCAACCCUCAAGCACAGCUUGGUCUUGGGCUCUGCCGACAGCGGCUGGCCUUAAAAUCAGUGGCGGUGCUAUCGAGCUCUACGCGUAGUAGCUAAAAUCCUCGCGUGUGAGACCCGGUGGAUGCUUGCCAGCAACCCCUUCUUUCUAUGGUUGACCUCGGAUCAGGUAGGGAUACCCGCUGA
rnacentral:misc_RNA from 1 species